AACGAACGUUGGCGGCGUGGAUUAGGCAUGCAAGUCGAGCGAGAACGCCACCUUCGGGUGGUUAGUACAGCGGCGAACGGGUGAGUAUCGCGUGGGGAACCUGCCCUCAGGUGGGGGAUAACAUUCCUAACGGAGUGCUAAUACCGCAUUACACGGCUGGGUCGCAUGGCCCGGCCGUCAAAGGUGGCCUCUGUUUCAAGCUGUCGCCUGAGGAUGGCCCCGCGUCCGAUUAGCUUGUUGGUGGGGUAACGGCUCACCAAGGCGACGAUCGGUAGCUGGUCUGAGAGGAUGGUCAGCCACACUGGGACUGAGAUACGGCCCAGACUCCUACGGGAGGCAGCAGUCGAGAGGCUUCGGCAAUGGGGGAAACCCUGACCGAGCGACGCCGCGUGGGGGACGAAGGCUUUCGGGUCGUAAACCCCUUUCAGUAGGGACGAAAACUUGUCGGGCUAAUACCCCGACGACUUGACGGUACCUGCAGAAGAAGCGCCGGCUAACUCCGUGCCAGCAGCCGCGGUAACACGGGGGGCGCAAACGUUGUUCGGAAUCACUGGGCGUAAAGGGCGCGUAGGCGGCCAGGCAAGUGAGAUGUGAAAUCCACCGGCUCAACCGGUGAACUGCAUCCCAAACUACCUGGCUUGAGGGCAGCAGAGGAGAUGGGAAUUCCCGGUGUAGCGGUGAAAUGCGUAGAUAUCGGGAAACACCAGUGGCGAAGGCGCGUCUCUGGGCUGCAUCUGACGCUAAGGCGCGAAAGCUGGGGGAGCGAACAGGAUUAGAUACCCUGGUAGUCCCAGCCGUAAACGGUGGGCACUAGGUGUAGGAGGUAUCGACCCCUCCUGUGCCGUAGCUAACGCAUUAAGUGCCCCGCCUGGGGAGUACGGCCGCAAGGUUGAAACUCAAAGGAAUUGACGGGGGCCCGCACAAGCGGUGGAGCAUGUGGUUUAAUUCGACGCAACGCGAAGAACCUUACCGGGGCUUGACAUGCACCGGAUCGGUGUGGAAACACACCUUCCUUUCGGGGCUGGUGUGCAGGUGCUGCAUGGCUGUCGUCAGCUCGUGUCGUGAGAUGUUGGGUUAAGUCCCGCAACGAGCGCAACCCUUGUCCUUAGUUGCUACCAGGUAAUGCUGAGCACUCUAGGGAGACUGCCGGUGGUAAACCGGAGGAAGGUGGGGAUGACGUCAAGUCCUCAUGGCCCUUACGCCCCGGGCUACACACGUGCUACAAUGGCCGGCACAAAGGGUUGCAAUACCGCGAGGUGGAGCUAAUCCCAAAAAACCGGUCUCAGUUCAGAUUGCAGUCUGCAACUCGACUGCAUGAAGGCGGAAUCGCUAGUAAUCGCGAAUCAGCAGGUCGCGGUGAAUACGUUCCCGGGCCUUGUACACACCGCCCGUCAAGCCACGAAAGUUGGCAGUGCCCGAAGUCGCUGCGGUAACCCGUAAGGGGACUAGGCGCCGAAGGUAAGGCCAGCGAUUGGGGCUAAGUCGAACAAGGUA
rnacentral:rRNA from 1 species